UAGCGGAAGAGCGUGGUCAGCGUUCUGGUGGCAAUGGCCAGACGGAGGGAAUGAUUUGGUGGGCUUCGUCUUCUUCCUCUUCGUUUCUCCUUAGGCGAGAAUAUGGGAACAAAUUGAGGGAUUUAUGCCUCCCAUCCUUCCAUCUAUAUCUGUGUUUGUGCUAGAGAGAAGCUGGGUAGAAUUGAUCAAAAUUAGGGUUCAUAUUUGAUGAAUUUGGGUUAAUAUUUAUUUAAGAAUUUUUUCUGAGAAAGAACGAGCAAUUGUUACGAGAACCUGUUUUAAUUAAGCUUAGAUCCAUUGCGUGUAUUUGAUGGGCUAAGAGUGAUCAGGAAGGCAUUGGGAGCAAAUCUUGAACUUUUGUGGACAUUGAUAAUAUAUAUAUGUAGAUCAGUAGAUGAUCAAUUCUUGAAAGAAUAAAUUAAUCAAUUAGACGGUGACUGAUUGCUGAGAAGGUAAGAUAGCAAUCAGGGCGGAAGCCACCUCGACUGUUCAGCAAGAAAUUUACCGAACCGUGAGGCCAGGAGGAAAGGGAGAGGAAGGCGAGGAGUCGGGCUCGGAGCUGGAGCCAGAACUGGGAAGGGCUAGCGGUCUCGGGUCGGUGAAAAUUGUCGACGAGAUUGAAUUUUUCAUGGGCGAUUUCAGGGAUUCUCUGAGAUUGUAUGUUGGCUUCAAUAGUUUCUUGUUCGAUUGGAGACGGGGAACAAAAGACAACGUUGUAUAGCAUUUCUUUAUUUUUUUUUGUAAUCAAAUUAUGUUUUAUUUAGUUGGACCGGUGCAAUUUGGUUCGGUUUAA